rnacentral:rRNA from 1 species
AUUGAACGCUGGCGGCAGGCCUAACACAUGCAAGUCGAGCGGAUGAAGGGAGCUUGCUCCUGGAUUCAGCGGCGGACGGGUGAGUAAUGCCUAGGAAUCUGCCUGGUAGUGGGGGAUAACGUCCGGAAACGGGCGCUAAUACCGCAUACGUCCUGAGGGAGAAAGUGGGGGAUCUUCGGACCUCACGCUAUCAGAUGAGCCUAGGUCGGAUUAGCUAGUUGGUGGGGUAAAGGCCUACCAAGGCGACGAUCCGUAACUGGUCUGAGAGGAUGAUCAGUCACACUGGAACUGAGACACGGUCCAGACUCCUACGGAAGGCAGCAGUGGGGAAUAUUGGACAAUGGGCGAAAGCCUGAUCCAGCCAUGCCGCGUGUGUGAAGAAGGUCUUCGGAUUGUAAAGCACUUUAAGUUGGGAGGAAGGGCAGUAAGUUAAUACCUUGCUGUUUUGACGUUACCAACAGAAUAGGCACCGGCUAACUUCGUG